AUGUACAUCCAAACUUUAGAUGUCAUCUGUUCCAUCAUAAUUUGUCAAAUCCCAAACAAUGACUAUAACAUUUGGCUAUUUUCCAGGAUGUAUUUGGGUCCCAUCUGGACUUCCUUUUUAUUUGCCCACCUUUAUUCCUUCAGAAGACUGUCAAUGAAUAAUUGGUGCUUUAGGCUACAUUUCAGAGGAAAGAAGUGGCAAAAUCAUGUUUCCCAAGAAAACCCUAUGAAUAAUAAUUGCAGUGAUGUUGACCGGCUAUAUCUGCCUAGAAGAUCAGGUGGCAGAGGACUCUUACAAGUAAAACAAGCAGUCAAAGAAGAAGAACAUGCCCUGGCAGAAUAUGUAAAGCAAAGUGAAGAACCUGCUUUGAUUGAAGUCAAAAAUCAGAAACUCCUCAAAGCACAGCAGACAAAAAAUCAGUACAAGAAAACCGCACUACAAACUAGAGCUGACAGCUGGCACAACAAAACAUUGCAUGGAAAGUUCCUUGACAAAAUUGAAGGAAAAGCAGAUAAGGAGAAGACCUGGCUCUGGCUCAGAAAUGGGACCCUGAAGAAGGAGACAGAAGGCCUGAUCCUUGCAGCCCAAGAGCAAGCCAUCAGAACAAAUGCAAUUAAGGACAAGAUCGAAAAAUCAGCUGAUGACCCAAAAUGCAGACUGUGCAAGGAAACCAACGAAACCAUUGAUCAUAUCCUCAGCUGCUGUAAGAAAAUCGCACAGACAGACUACAAACAGAGGCACAACUAUGUGGCCCAAAUGAUUCAUUGGAACUUAUGCCUCAAGUACCACCUGCCAGCAGCAAAGAACUGGUGGGAUCACAAACCUGCAAAAGUAUUGGAAAAUGAACAUGCAAAGAUACUGUGGGACUUCCGAAUCCAGACUGACAAAGUUCUGGAACACAACACACCAGACAUCACAGUUGUGGAAAAGAAAAAGGUUUGGAUCAUUGAUGUUGCCAUCCCAGGUGACAUUCGCAUUGACAAAAAACAACAGGAAAAACUCAGCCGCUAUCAGGACCUCAAGAUUGAACUUCAAAGACUCUGGCAGAAACCAGUGCAGGUGGUCCCAGUGGUGAUCGGGUGCCAUGCCAAAAGAUCUCAGCCGGCAUUUGGAAACAAUAGGCAUUGA
rnacentral:lncRNA from 1 species